AGAUUUUAAAAUUCCAUAAGAGCUAACUAAACUUAUAAAUUAUGGUGAUAACCUAAUCUUUACAUGCAAAGGGGAAGAAAUAUGAUUAAAUCUGUCAAGGUUGUUUGUAUAAUGAUUGUCUUUUCUUCCAUAUUAGUUUUUUCAAUGAAUGUGAAGACAAACUGGAAAUGUGUAGUUACAGAUGAUUGUCCAACAAAUCUGUGCGAGGUUGGUAUGAUGGUGAAGUGUAAGUAUGGAUAUUGUAGAUGUAUGACAGUGUGGGUUCCAGAAAAGUUUGUAACCACUUGAUUGUAUAUUUAGGAAUACAAAGGACAGUCUUUGAGGACGUGCAAGAUGGGCUACCGCAUAGGGCCUCAAACUUUUUACGGUUAAACUGCAACUAAAUAGGGCCUCAUAAAUCUUUGCCACUAUUAAAAUGGAGUUAAAUAGAGCCUAUAAUUAUUUUAUCAUAUUUGAAUCAUGACUAAUCUACACAGGACUUCCAAAAAAUUGAGACGGCCUUGGUCAUUGUAACAAUCUUAUAUCUUUGUUUACUUUUAAAAGAUAUGGAAAACUAGAAUAAUUUGUGAUACAAGUGUGAGUUGUGUAAGUUCUACACUAAUUUAAAAAGUGGAGGUAAAAUAUUUUAUAAGUGAGAGAACCUAUAUAUCCAUUAUCUUAAGGUUUUGGGCGGUUAUGUGAUGUCUCUCUCACUUGUGUGUUGCUCUUGACCUAAUAAGGAUGCUCCUCAUUGAUGACCCAACAAUGAUAUCAAAGCUUAGUUCAACGAUGACUCCUUGUAUCCAGGGACGGAUCCAGACAAUGCAUAUUGAUGUGGCUAAAUAUAAAGGAAUUUAUAAAUUAAAUAUAUUAAAAAUAAAAAUAAAAAUAAAAAUAUUCAAAGCAAUACAUUUAUAAUGAAAGUUGUUUAUCAAAUAUAAAAGAUUAAUAAAUAUAAAAGUGAGAGAGAAAUUUGAGAGAAGAUGAUAGUGUUUUAAAAUUUGAAUUGUACCGACUAGUCGAAUCGGAAAUUAGAAGGGUUAUUAGUCUGGUUUUAUUAUUGGAUCGGAUAAGCUAUUAAACCAAUGAGAGCCGGUCAGAACCGACCAAAACUAGUAAAAAUCGGUGAACCGACGAUUUUGGAAAAUCGAUAGAUAAGCUAUAAAAUUAAAAUAUAAGUAGAGUUUGUUCAAAACUUAUUUGAAACAACUUUUCCUCCUUAAAGUUAAAUUUACUAGACACUGAAUUUAUUUUGUUAUUUUGUUAUGUCUGACAAUUAUAUUUAAAAUUUGAAUUUAAAGAAUGAAUUUAUAAAAUUAUGAUAUUUUGAAAUUUUAAAAUUUAGUAGGUGUCGUGAUUUUUUUCGAUA